GCCGUCCCCACCCCCUAGCAACCCCUUCCCACACGCAUGCGCACAAUGGUCAUUGCUCCUUAGUCCCUGGCCUGGGGCCGGACUCCCUCCAGGGACUAGGCUAGCAUGAGGGGGAUUAGGUCUCAGGGGCUGGGGGCCCUACACCACCCCCGCCUCCUUCAGCCCUCUGCAGCAUGUCCAGGGCCUCCCAGAAGAAGUCCUUCUGUGCGGCCAUCAGGGGCAUCCACCCUACGAUCUCCUUCAUCUUCUCCAUGCGGUCCUGCAACGUUUGGCAACUGUGGAUCUGGCUGAGGUACUCCUCGCAGGCCUGGGCCAUCCCCCCGGGGUCCUGGGGUGCUCUGGCCCCCAGGCUGGGCUCGGGAGUCCCCACCACCCUGCUGGCUGGCAGGUCGCGAUAGGGGGCGUGCUGCUCAAUGUCGUGGCUGGACAGGAUGUAUAGGCACUCCCUGGUGGCACAGAGGGCACAGGCACACAGAGGGACCUUGGAGGAGGAGAGAAAGGGGGCAUGGCUGAGUGGUGCUUUCCUUGCAGGGUUUCCCAGGGUGCCCGGGCUAAUCUGCCUAUUGCAUUCUUCCCUCUCACACCAGCCCUGAGCCGGCUAAGUCCCAGGGGUGUGUGACAUUGGGCAAGGCCAGCACAGUCUGCUAAGGGAGAAAGCAGAGAGCGUGGUGUGCGGCAGAGGAGGGAGGUGGGGUGGUGCUAGGGAAAUGGGACCCCCUGGGUCCCUGCAGGAGCCCCAGCUACAGCCUGUGGGCUUCCUGGUUCAUGGCUCUCAUCCUCCCUGGGUGCCCACUCUCCUGACCCCACUCUGACCUUGACUUGGAGCUUGACGAAGGAGGCACUCCCCUUGGGCCAGCCUGGGAGGCGGCCCCCAGCCCCACAGCCGCAGCCCAGCAGCUCCUUGCUGAACUCUGAGCUCUGGCUCAGCACCAGGGAGUGGUUGAGGCCGCACCACAGGGUGACGGGCCGCUGCAGAAAAUCAGCUCCUUGCCUGAGCCCAGGGCCUGCUGUGGUGUACCCCUCAUUCUCAGCACAUCUGUCUAUGCCAGUCCAGCCUCUCAUCCUGCCUGCCAGCCUCGGGGAGACUUGCUUCUUGUGCAAUUCCAGAACCUGCAGUGACUCUUCC
rnacentral:lncRNA from 1 species